rnacentral:misc_RNA from 1 species
UCUCCUUACUUCAUCUUGAUCAUUCGGAUGAAAACUUAAAAUUAGUUUUCUUAUUGCUGGAUUGGCUUAAAGAGAAUUAGGUUCAAUUCCUUGUUCUUGAAUAUCAUUCUUUUUUUGUGAUGCAGAACUAGGAGUUUGCCUUUUAAAAUAUCUCUUCAUUGUUUACUAUUAAAAAAAAUUUUGAAAAAUUAAAUUUAAUAAUCUAGACAAAUAAAUAAUACUACCAUUAACAUUAAAAAAAAAAAAAAUAACAUGCAACAAUCAUAAUUUUACUUUACUAUAACUAUGAUGGCAAUAAUUUAAAAUUUAAAUAGCAAUAGAAUAAUGAUUUAAAAUUUUCAAUUGCAAGUACCUAUUCUUCCAAAUCAAACAAAGAGUUUCAAUAUACCAAAAAAAAGGGAAAAAAAAUAUACACACAUAAAAAUUAAAUUAAAAUUUUUUUUUAUAACAACAAAAUAGUAGAAAUUAAUUACUAUGCUUGAUUGAAUUAGUCAUGGUUAAUCUAAUGAUAACAACAAUAAAGUACAAAUAAAAUGACUAAACCAAAGUCACCAACUAAGAAGGAACAAUUUGGAUAUGUUUAAAGUAGCCCAACAAAUGCAAAUGAAAUAGAGUAGCCUAUAAAAAUUUAAUAGUAGGAUCUCUCUAUAUACGUAGCCCUCAAUUAAGAAGAAAAGAAAGAAAAGAUCCAUGUAUGCAAUUGAGUUCAGUUCUAUGGCCAAUCAAGAAGUUCCCUGAAGCUUGAUAUGAUAAAAGAGUAGGCAUUUCAUUUCAUUUUCCUUUUGCAAAUGGAUGGUGGUAAGCAAUUCUCUAGUUCCAUUUGUCGUAUAUAUUCUAAUUUCAGGUGAAUUAUUCACCUGUAUUCUGCAAUCAGGUGAGCAAUAUCUAACCAAAUAACUAAAUAAAACUAGAAUCAGGAAAAUCCUUCCACGUGUACAUUUUAAAUGUAACAUGCAUUUAAACAAAGUAAAACUUACUGAGAAAAUGCGACUGGUUCAAAUCUAAAAAAUUAAGGACCAUGCUGGUCCAUGAAUUUCUUUCGUUCGUCUUGUUAUUCUAGAUCCAAUCAUGCAAGAGUUAUAAUAUUAUCCAUCUUAAAGGUGUUAUUGACGAAAAAUUUUGCAAAGGUUCAACAAGAAAUAACUCAUGUGACGACAUAGCUCCUAAUAUUUUCAAUUUAUUUUUAACAAAGACAUAACCAGUGAGGAGAAAAUACGAGAAUCAAAUGCUUUAAGGAAUAUGGUUAGACAAAGAAGUCAAAACGAGUGUAACUCAAUUUUGAUAUAUUGGUGCUUAGCUCAACCUUGAUAUGCAGCUAUACUUCAUCAGCUUGCACAGGCCACUAGGUGUUAUUUUUAAACUGCCAUCCAAGGUCCUAGGAAACUGGAUGGCUAUCAUUAGACAGAAGCAUUAGCAAUGCUAAAAUUUUGCAACUGAUUUGGGUGGAACUAUGAAGCGAAAAGGAACUAAUUAUCCAAAGACAAGGAAAGCACCCAGAACAUGCAAGUGACGAGAGUAAUCAAAAUAUAACAAACAAGAAGAAUGCUUGAAUCAAUGCCAUGAAAAAGAAAAAAAAAAUUAAAACCGUUAGGUACCACAAGCUAGAAACCAAAACUUAGAUAGGUUACUACCAUGCUUAUUAAAGGAACGGAUAAAUUGUCAUCUACAGUCUCAGUCGUUGGAAGGGACUCCACUAUUGUCGCCACUAAAGCAACCCAAGCAACCCUUUGAAUUGUUGACAUCCAGUUCAACCGGAGAUAUCCCAAAGCUGAGUAGUAGUACAGCAUCCCAAUAGAAAUCAAGAAUCCAGAAAUGAACAUAGAUAUGCUACCCACCCAACUCUUCUGUCGAUUAUAAGGAAGUUUUAUUAACCCAAAUCUUCUUCCCAUAAUAUCAGCCACACCAUCCCCACCACACAUCAUUGCCAAUGAGAUCACUCCAACAGGCGACUCGCGCCAAAAGACUAGUGCACAUAACAUCAAUAUGAGAACAUAAUACAAAGGACCCCUUAGCAACUCCCUGCAAGAACAAAACAUUGCAGCUUUGAUUGAAUAAAAGGAAAAUGCAGACUGUACAAAAACCAGGAGAAAAUGAUGAAGUUAGGAACAGAAUUACUCUGGGUUUCCUUCUCGAGUAAGAGACUUUACAAGCCCUUCAUCAGUAGCCAAUGAGCGACCGUAGAUGACAAGCCUUAGGCAAUUCACAAGAGGCACCAAAGAAGCAAAGUAACGAGCUACAUUUGAGGUGCUGAAAAUUGGCCAAGAAAUGGCGAACAGCAGACCGGACAAUAUAUGAACCAGUUUUCUGCUUAAUUUCUGCUUGAUGAGUUUUCGCUCAGUGAGAGUAUCAAAAGCGAGAACUAGACAGUACGCGCCGGCGAGAACAGCUGCCGUAGCACCAGCGUCUUGAAGCAGCGCACCUCCGGCGGCGGCCCUUGGAGUGAAGGACGGUGAAGAAGUCCGAGCGGUGGGUGCAUGGGGAGCACGAUAGAGAAAGUGAAGGGGUAGGGUAGGAGGUGGCUUCGGAGAGAAGCAAUGAAGAGAAAAAUUGGAGGAGGAGAGAGGGAGGUCAACGGCGGACCUGUGUACGUGGCGGCGGCGGAGGAGGAGAGAAAGAGCGGGAGUUAAGGAUAAGGGGCACAUUGUAGCGAGCAUCACAGCGGCAGAAACAAGGAAUUUUUUUUUUCUUUUUUUAUGUCCACG